rnacentral:rRNA from 1 species
UACGGAGGGUGCAAGCAUUAAUCGGAUUUAUUGGGCGUAAAGGGCGCGUAGGCGGAAGCGUAAGUCAGAUGUGAAAGCCCGGGGCUCAACCCCGGAACGGCAUUUGGUACUGCGUUUCUAGAGGGUAGGCGGAGAAAAUAGAAUUCCACAAGUAGCGGUGAAAUGCGUAGAUAUGUGGAAGAAUACCGGUGGCGAAGGCGGUUUUCUAGCUUAUACCUGACGCUGAGGCGCGAAAGCAAGGGGAUCAAACAGG